UCCUACAACCAUACCACCCUGAAUGUGCCCAAUCUUGUCUGAUCUCAGAAGCUAAGCAGGGUCAGGUCUGGUUAGUACUUGGGUGGGGAGGUGGCCUGGGAAUACUGGGUGCUGUAGGCU
rnacentral:rRNA from 1 species